rnacentral:rRNA from 1 species
AGAGUUUGAUCCUGGCUCAGGAUGAACGCUAGCUACAGGCUUAACACAUGCAAGUCGAGGGGAAACGACAUCGAAAGCUUGCUUUUGAUGGGCGUCGACCGGCGUACGGGUGAGUGACGCGUAUCCAACCUGCCCACCACUUGGGGAUAACCUUGCGAAAGUAAGACUAAUACCCAAUGAUAUCUCUAGAAGACAUCUGAAAGAGAUUAAAGAUUUAUCGGUGAUGGAUGGGGAUGCGUCUGAUUAGCUUGUUGGCGGGGUAACGGCCCACCAAGGCAACGAUCAGUAGGGGUUCUGAGAGGAAGGUCCCCCACAUUGGAACUGAGACACGGUCCAAACUCCUACGGGAGGCCGGA